rnacentral:rRNA from 1 species
UACGUAGGUGGCAAGCGUUGUCCGGAUUUACUGGGCGUAAAGAGCGCGCAGGGGGUCGUUCAAGUCGCGUGUGAAAGCCCCCGGCUCAACUGGGGAGGGUCACGCGAUACUGGUCGACUCGAAGGCAGGAGAGGGUAGUGGAAUUCCCGGUGUAGUGGUGAAAUGCGUAGAUAUCGGGAGGAACACCAGUGGCGAAGGCGACUACCUGGCCUGUUCUUGACGCUGAGGCGCGAAAGCUAGGGGAGCAAACGGG